rnacentral:rRNA from 1 species
ACGAACGCUGGCGGCGUGCUUAACACAUGCCAGUCGAACGGAAAGGCCCUGCUUUUGUGGGGUGCUCGAGUGGCGAACGGGUGAGUAACACGUGAGUAACCUGCCCUUGACUUUGGGAUAACUUCAGGAAACUGGGGCUAAUACCGGAUAGGAGCUCCUGCUGCAUGGUGGGGGUUGGAAAGUUUCGGCGGUUGGGGAUGGACUCGCGGCUUAUCAGCUUGUUGGUGGGGUAGUGGCUUACCAAGGCUUUGACGGGUAGCCGGCCCGAGAGGGUGACCGGCCACAUUGGGACUGAGAUACGGCCCAGACUCCUACGGGAGGCAGCAGUGGGGAAUAUUGCACAAUGGGCGGAAGCCUGAUGCAGCAACGCCGCGUGCGGGAUGACGGCCUUCGGGUUGUAAACCGCUUUCGCCUGUGACGAAGCGUGAGUGACGGUAAUGGGUAAAGAAGCACCGGCUAACUACGUG